UUUAUUAUUUUUAUUUUUAUUUUUUUUUCAAAACACGUGGGCUUCGCCUAGCGAGCAUGACAGCUCAUGAACAAACUUUUGCUCCUUCAAGAUUAACAUUUUGACUGACGAAUAGACCCCAUUUGGACCUGUUGGAAGUAACUCAAGUCUUUCCCUUGUGUUGACUGAUCAUCUAAAUAGAACCCACAAAGUGUCCUGGAUGAUGUUCAAGCUUCUUGGAGCUAAU
rnacentral:lncRNA from 1 species